UACGUAGGGUGCGAGCGUUGUCCGGAAUUAUUGGGCGUAAAGAGCUCGUAGGCGGUUUGUCACGUCGGAUGUGAAAUCCCGGGGCUUAACUCCGGGCCUGCAUUCGAUACGGGCUGACUAGAGUUCGGCAGGGGAGACUGGAAUUCCUGGUGUAGCGGUGAAAUGCGCAGAUAUCAGGAGGAACACCGGUGGCGAAGGCGGCUCUCUGGGACGGUACUGACGCUGAGACGCGAAAGCGUGGGGAGCGAACAGG
rnacentral:rRNA from 1 species